rnacentral:tRNA from 1 species
GCAGUGGUGGUUCAGUGGUAGAAUUCUCGCCUUCCAUGCGAAAGACCUGCGUUCGAUACCCAGUCAAUGUA